rnacentral:tRNA from 1 species
GGAUGGGUGGCCGAGUGGUCGAAGGCACCGGUCUUGAAAACCGGCGUACUCGCAAGGGUACCGUGGGUUCGAAUCCCACCCCAUCCG